UACGAAGGGGGGCUAGCGUUGCUCGGAAUCACUGGGCGUAAAGCGCACGUAGGCGGACUCUUAAGUCGGUGGUGAAAUCCUGGAGCUCAACUCCAGAACUGCCUUCGAUACUGGGAGUCUCGAGUCCGGGAGAGGUGAGUGGAACUGCGAGUGUAGAGGUGAAAUUCGUAGAUAUUCGCAAGAACACCAGUGGCGAAGGCGGCUCACUGGCCCGGUACUGACGCUGAGGUGCGAAAGCGUGGGGAGCAAACAGGGAUUAAGAAACCCUUGUAC
rnacentral:rRNA from 1 species